rnacentral:rRNA from 1 species
UACGAAGGGUGCAAGCGUUACUCGGAAUUACUGGGCGUAAAGCGUGCGUAGGCGGUUUGUUAAGUCUGUCGUGAAAGCCCCGGGCUCAACCUGGGAAUGGCGAUGGAUACUGGCGAGCUAGAGUACGGUAGAGGAGAGUGGAAUUCCCGGUGUAGCAGUGAAAUGCGUAGAGAUCGGGAGGAACAUCAGUUGCGAAGGCGGCUCUCUGGACCAGUACUGUCGCUGAGGCACGAAAGCGUGGGGAGCAAACAGG